GACGGGACCGCACAAGCGGUGGAUGAUGUGGUUUAAUUCGAUGCAACGCGAAAACCUUACCACCUUUGACAUGUACGGAAUCCUUAGAGAUAGAGGAGUGCUCGAAAGAGAGCCGUAACACAGGUGCUGCAUGGCUGUCGUCAGCUCGUGUCGUGAGAUGUUGGGUUAAGUCCCGCAACGAGCGCAACCCUUGUCAUUAGUUGCUACAUUCAGUUGGGCACUCUAAUGAGACUGCCGGUGACAAACCGGAGGAAGGUGGGGAUGACGUCAAGUCCUCAUGGCCCUUAUAGGUGGGGCUACACACGUCAUACAAUGGAUGGUACAAAGGGUCGCCAACCCGCGAGGGGGAGCCAAUCCCAUAAAGCCAUUCGUAGUCCGGAUCGCAGUCUGCAACUCGACUGCGUGAAGUCGGAAUCGCUAGUAAUCGUGGAUCAGAAUGUCACGGUGAAUACGUUCCCGGGUCUU
rnacentral:rRNA from 1 species